rnacentral:rRNA from 1 species
AACGAACGCUGGCGGCAGGCUUAACACAUGCAAGUCGAACGCCCCGCAAGGGGAGUGGCAGACGGGUGAGUAACGCGUGGGAAUCUACCCAGUUCUACGGAACAACUGAGGGAAACUUCAGCUAAUACCGUAUACGCCCUACGGGGGAAAGAUUUAUCGGAAUUGGAUGAGCCCGCGUUGGAUUAGCUAGUUGGUGAGGUAACGGCUCACCAAGGCGACGAUCCAUAGCUGGUCUGAGAGGAUGAUCAGCCACACUGGGACUGAGACACGGCCCAGACUCCUACGGGAGGCAGCAGUGGGGAAUAUUGGACAAUGGGCGCAAGCCUGAUCCAGCCAUGCCGCGUGAGUGAUGAAGGCCUUCGGGUCGUAAAGCACUUUUUGGAGGGAAUAGGAAGGAAGGUACCUCCAGAAUAAGUCUCGGCUAACUACGUG